AAAAUAAUCCUACCCUUUGUGAAUUUUGUUUGUUUGAAUAAUUUUUUUUUUUUAAAAAAUUAUUGGAGUCUUUCCCUUUAGAGUUUGCUUUUGAGUUUGUAAAAGAAUUCGAAAACAUCUAAAGGGAUGGUCAAUAAUUUUUUUUGAAAAAAGACAUUUUUUAAAAUUAAACUUUUUGUAUCCAUUUGUCUAAAAUUAUUUUUAUAAUAUAAAAACAACUUUUGACAAUGGAUCUCUUGGUUCUCGCAACGAUGAAGAACGCAGCAAAAUGCGAUAAGUAGUGUGAAUUGCAGAAUACGUGAAUCAUCGAAUCUUUGAACGCAUAUUGCACUUUUUUAGUUUACUAAAAAAGUAUGUCUGUUUGAGUAUCAGUAAAAUAUUCUCAUAAAAAUCAUUGUGUAUUUUUAUGGUUAUGAGUGUUUUACAACGAUACAAGUUGUUUCACUUUAAAUUUUUUUUUAAUAUUGAAAUUUUUCUAAUUUUAAUAAUUAAAAUUGGAUAAAAUUUUCCCGUCAAAAGGAAUAACCUAAACAAUUUUAAAUGAUUAAUUUUAGCAAAAUUUUCGUAAAAAAGGAAAAUUUUUAUUAAAAUAACUUGAUCUCAAAUCAGAUAAGAGUACCCGCUGAACUUAAGCAUAUCAAUAAGCGGAGGAAAAGAAACUAACAAGGAUUCCCUUAGUAACGGCGAGUGAAGCGGGAAGAGCUCAAAUUUGAAAUCUUCAAGGUUUUACCUUGACGAAUUGUAGUUUAAAGAAGUGUUUUCUGCUGAAGUUUUGGUAAAAGUUCUUUGGAAUAGGACAUCAUAGAGGGUGAGAAUCCCGUAUUUGACCAUUAUUUUCAGCUUUGUGAUACACUUUCAAAGAGUCGGAUUGUUUGGGAGUGCAGUCCAAAAUGGGUGGUAAAUUUCAUCUAAAGCUAAAUAUUGGCGAGAGACCGAUAGCGAACAAGUACCGUGAGGGAAAGAUGAAAAGAACUUUGAAAAGAGAGUUAAACAGUACGUGAAAUUGUCAAAAGGGAAGCGUUUGACACCAGUGUUGUUUUCUCGAAAAUCAAUUAAAAAUGGCUCGAUUUUGUAUUGCUGAGACCUUAAAAGCUCACUGUACAUUUUUCGUGUCUUUUUUAAUGCACUUUUCGUUUAACAAGUCAACAUCAGUUUCUUUUGUUGUAAAAGGGUCAUUGGAAGGUGGCUUUCUUUUCGGAGAAAGUGUUUAUAGCCUUUGGCCUCUGCAAUCGGAGAGACUGAGGUCUGCAGCGUAGACUCUUCGGGGUUAGAUACAUUUGUGCUAAGUUAUAGCUUUUUAUAGACAACUUGUUGACUAUAAUUAGUCUUGUAGCUUACUCGCUUAUGCUAUUUUACCUACGCUUAGGAUG
rnacentral:misc_RNA from 1 species